UGAUGGAUUUGGGUGAAGAGGGGAUGACAACCUUGGCCUGCUUUCUAAGGGAUAAGCUAUAUUGUUUUGUUAGUGAUGGGGCUGUGAUUUGAAUUUCCCCUCUAGGAGCUUAGCAACUGAAAACAAGGUGCUGAUUUGACUUCAUAUCAAAACAAAUUUCUUCUAUAUUUUACUGCAGCAGCUUGAUGACUUUAAUGAUUAAGGGAUAUGAUCCUUUUCUGAUGGUUUUGUUUUGAGGUUGCUUUACCCAGCAAAGCUCAGCAGAUGUUCUCUGGCACAACUGUGACAGUUCUCUGCUCUGAAUUCUGAGCAGUAGUUUCUACCCUGUAAGGGUGUUAACAGCAGUACCUUGAUUGUGCUGGAGCAGAAAGUAAUGUCAUAGAGACAAGGGGAUCCAUGAGGAGAAAGGGGUCCAUGCAAGCUGCCUAUGGUUAGUGUUCAGGAAUUUCUUGUUCCUCCCAGCAAAGUACAGGCACGUUAGCCACUGAUAUAGUAGGUGUCAGCAGACUGGGAAGAGAUGUGCUCAGGAAUUUGCCAGGAGCAAAUGCUAUAACCACUGACCUUUUAAAUUUCAGCUCUGUCCUCAGAUUCCGUUCAGUCAGAACUCUGAAGUGAAAUGUUACAUCUUUAGAACACUUUUUGUUCUCCAAGAAGUAGAACUGAGCUUGCUUUUUAGUUGCACAUUUACAUCCUUUACCCUCUUAUGUAUUCCCUCCCUCUCAAGCCAAUUCUUUCUCCAGUCCCCACUGAGCCUCUCAACUGUGCAGUUUCCUCUACAUCUCUUAUCUACCUCUCGUUACUGGCGGUAGAAAGGGGAGGAGAAAUGUAGCAGGACAAGCAGACCCCACAUUAGCUUCAAUCUUUUACUUAUAACCAGGCUAAAAAAAAAAAAGACUAUAAAAAAAAUUGGUUAUUGAGAAAAAUGAGAAUAAAUCCUCAGGGAUUCCAAUGAGCUAAAACAAAAUUCAGGUUGUACAACAUCAGCUACCAGCACUAUCUGAUCUUGCAAAGGUAAAGUAAUAGCAUAGGAGAAAGGGUAAUUAAUUAAAUCCCUGUGCCAACUUCAUUCCCUUUCCCCCGCAAGAGUUAUUACAGCGAUAUAAAGAUUUCUCCAAUCUACCUCAUCUAGAAUCUUGCUCAUCAUAAACCACUCGACAAAGAGAUGUGUGAUUUCAAGAUAAGUAAGCAUAAUGGUAUAAUAUAAACUCCUGUGGCUUUCAGUAUAGCAAUCUAGGAAGAUGAGCCUCAAUUCUGUUGACUUUUGUUUUGGGGUUUGUGGUAAAACCAAAGCUCAUUUGUUUGAAAAACAAAAAGGAACCCUAAAUUUAUAAAGCUAAAGGAGAGAAAAAAACAGAUGGGAGGUGUUCAGCAAAAAGAAGCUGUAAACGCAAAGGAUGGUGUAGAUCACUAUAUGGAAAUGGCUUGGGUAAUUCUCUCUCAAAUAGUAGUCAUUGACACAUUUCCUCAUGGAUGGAUUUCCUGAGCCUGUGUUUUGGCAUGUGAAGUGUCUGAGUAUAUUUUCACCUUCAGUGUGUCUUGUUUAUGGUUAGGGGGGUUUUAGCUUGACAUUUUCCAAGUUUUGCUGUCAUUUGUUUGUUCUUUGUUGCAGUUACUUGAUCUAUGAGCUUGUUUAAAGACUGAAUAAAGAUGUUUGAAUGUUUU
ensembl:lncRNA